UCUUAUUGUUUUGCUAUUGCUUUUAAUAUGUAAAAUAUAUGGGAAACGGAAACAAAAUAUCAUACCAGUGAUGGGUGGGAAGGUAUCAGUUUGAUACAAGUGAAACAGAUGGAUCAUUUGGUGCCUUUGUAUGGAAAAUUUAUUUUCAUUUCACGUGACCCUCUUUGGACAUAUUUGUGUGUUGUGUUCAAUUAUAAUGAAAAAAAAAGUCACAGAAAGUGUGAGUGCAUGAUCAAUUGCUGAGGACUUUUCUGUAAGGGGAGGUGCGAUUGGGGAUUAUACACUGUUUUAUGGCUGAAUAGUAAACUCUGUUGGAGCCUCUUUCCAAGACUCUAGUGAGCACCGAGGGAGGAGAGAGCUAGAAAUGCUUGUGUUUUCAGCUUCUUCAGAGGAGAGGGAAACUAAGGAAACCAUUUGUGAACGUUUUGUUACUUUAGUCUUCUUGGUUUGGAUUGGGUCCAAGGACUUCUACCACAGGAAACGCACUAUUGCCUUCUCCCAGUAGGUUCAUCGUUUCACAGACUGCAAAGAACGUACCCUGCUAUCUUGGGUUCUAAUUGCCAUGACUGAAUAUUCUGACUGAAGCAACUUAGAGGAGAAAACGUUUAACUCGCAGUUCAGAGUAGUCUACCAUCGUGGAACAGAAUUUCCUGUCCAGGGAGUGAUUCUACUCACAGUUAAGAUGGAUCUCCCUUCACCAAUUAGCAUAAUAUUUAGGGAGAUUCUAUAAAGACUGGGCUGGCUUGAACUUGAGACUAUGGCCCCGGCUUCAAAGGACUGGGAUUACAGGUGUUUGUCACCACAUCCUGAAUGAAACAUGGACUUCAUUUGAGCUUCUCCAGCCUAUCGGAAGCAUGAGAAGGCGGUGGACUGGCUCAAUGACCUACAUUGGCUCUGCCUUGCAAAGACUGCCAGAGAUCAUCCGGUGAGUCCUCCUCACAGAACUCUCUUUCUCCUCUAGGUCCCGCCUUGGUUCCUGGAGGCAGCGGUGCCAGGCGGCUGCAGGCUGCGGGCACUCGUUGCUCCAGCUCACCCUUUCACCCCUCCUUCACCCCGGGAGUGCCACGCCGGGUGGCGCGGUUUUUCUGACCACUAGGGAAGCUGGGCAGGCGAGGCCAGGAAUUACAGGGCCUCCCCGCUUUGGCGAGCCCUAGUAUCUGCAUCCUCCUGAAGCCAGCCACUGUGCUCUAGCGGAUUCGAAAGAAGCAGGGUCUCGCAGGCAGCAAGUCGGGCCCCAGGGAGGCCUGAACUAUUUCCCACCUCUCCCAAUCCCCAUUUGAACUUCCAGCUUCGGGCCUGGGAGACGCCCCGCAGCCGAGCCAGCCUCCAGCGCGCAGAGUUAGAGCGCUCCGUAGCGGAGGGCGAGCGGUCCAGUCGCCCGGGGCAUCCCCGUGCCGGGGGCGGAGGCGAGGGCAGCGGGGGGCGGGGGGCGGGAUAGGGUCUGCAGCACGGAGUGUAGCGGCUGGACCCUUGUAGCCCGCCCGGAGACUGGCAGAGGCGGAGGGCGCGGCUCGGGCGCCGGGGGCGGGGUCUCUGGUGCUGAUUGGUGCGUAUCUGG
rnacentral:sRNA from 1 species